UCGAGAGGCUUCCACAAUGCGGGAAACCGUGAUAGGGGAACUCCGAGUGCCCGUUAAAUCGGGCUGUCCAUCUGUUUAAAUAACAGGUGGAGAAAGGGCCGGGCAAGACCGGUGCCAGCCGCCGCGGUAAUACCGGCGGCUCGAGUGGUGGCCACUAUUACUGGGCUUAAAGCGUUCGUAGCUGGUUUGUUAAGUCUCUGGGGAAAUCUUCCGGCUUAACCGGAAGGCGUCUCAGGGAUACUGGCAGACUAGGGACCGGGAGAGGUGAGGGGUACUCCAGGGGUAGGAGUGAAAUCCUGUAAUCCUUGGGGGACCACCUGUGGCGAAGGCGCCUCACCAGAACGGCUCCGACAGUGAGGGACGAAAGCUGGGGGAGCAAACC
rnacentral:rRNA from 1 species